UACAGAGGGUGCGAGCGUUAAUCGGAAUUACUGGGCGUAAAGGGCGCGUAGGCGGUUUGAUGGGUGUGAUGUGAAAGCCCUGGGCUUAACCUAGGAAGCGCAUCGCAAACUAUGUAACUGGAGUAGAUGAGAGGGUGGCGGAAUUUCCGGUGUAGCGGUGAAAUGCGUAGAGAUCGGAAGGAACGUCAACGGCGAAGGCAGCCACCUGGCAUCAUACUGACGCUGAGGCGCGAAAGCGUGGGGAGCAAACAGG
rnacentral:rRNA from 1 species